rnacentral:lncRNA from 1 species
UCAUCCCCUGUAGCAGCAAACUACUUGCUGCACUGCACCUCUCUUCUUCUGGAAAUUGACUAUUCUUCCUUUCAUGAGUCUCCUUUCCCUUUGAUCCAUGGUUCCUCCAUUCAAUUCAGGGGAAGAAAAUAUUACAAUUGAACUAAUAAAAGGAGAAGUGAUCGGGUGCCGUCGGUUCUAGUGGAGUAGGUCUAUGGCCGUAGCGUUCAAAAUUCGUAGCAAAUACGAUUACAUGAAGUUCUUAGUUACUAGUGUAAGCAUUUCCUAAAAAAAGUUGUUAGUGUAAGAAUUUUUUCCAUGUGUUACCAGUAGCCCAUGUGACAUUUUUAUCCUGGCUCCGCCAUUGUAUUGAAGUAGUCAGAUUUACGAUAACAGAAAAUAAUUGUCAGCAUUGAUCGAAGGUGCUUGCUGGAAGGACAGGGAUGAUGAUAGAGAAGGCGGAAGUGGUCCGUCUGACGGAGUCGGGGCCAGACUUGGAUAUUGGGUCACGAUUUCUUUCGUCCCUUACCGGAUACUUGCUCGGGCCGGUUUAUUUGGCCUUCCUCUAUAAAUGGGAGUAUAGUAUACUAGUAUAGGGGCUUUCUUUUUUCUUUUUUUUAUUAAUCUCCAUUUUGCGAGAGCGUCUUCAGUAGUACACUGCGUGUAUUUUCACAUAUAUGUGAAUGGUCAAGAUUAGAGGACAUAAUAUAAAACGAGUAGUGCUAGAGACACCAAAAAUUUAUACCAAAAUCAUAUACCAAAUGAUGUGGCUAGUGCCAUCUCAUCCGCCCUAUAUGGAAGGAAUUGCUAACAUGGUUUUUCUUAAUAUUUGUAAUAUUAAAGUAUUCAUAAUCAUGAAUUCUUUACUAACUCUUUCAUUAAAAGACUUAAAAUCAAGAAAAAACUUUAUUUUUUAAUAGAAAUCCAACUUCGAUCUUGUAAUGCAUUGUCGUCAUCCUAAUCAAGAGAAGAAGAUGAUCUAAACUUAACUUUGCAGACAUGGUUGGUCGUCGGUGUGUGACUUUUGCCCUUUGGAAUGAGAUAUCAUUAUUUUUUUGUUUAUAAAAUUUCAAUCGAAAAUUACCAAAUUAAAAAUCGUCUUAAUGAAAAUUUAUGAGAAUAACACAAUUUAUCUUCAUUCAAAUAGCUACUUGGCAAAUAAUGAGAG